ACUCCUACGGGAGGCAGCAGUGAGGAAUAUUGGACAAUGGGCGCAAGCCUGAUCCAGCCAUGCCGCGUGCAGGAAGACUGCCCUAUGGGUUGUAAACUGCUUUUGUACGGGAAGAAACACCCCCUCGUGAGGGGGCUUGACGGUACCGUAAGAAUAAGGAUCGGCUAACUCCGUGCCAGCAGCCGCGGUAAUACGGAGGAUCCGAGCGUUAAUCGGAAUUACUGGGCGUAAAGCGCACGUAGGCGGCUUUGUAAGUCAGAGGUGAAAGCCUGGAGCUCAACUCCAGAACUGCCUUUGAGACUGCAUCGCUUGAAUCCAGGAGAGGUCAGUGGAAUUCCGAGUGUAGAGGUGAAAUUCGUAGAUAUUCGGAAGAACACCAGUGGCGAAGGCGGCUGACUGGACUGGUAUUGACGCUGAGAUGCGAAAGUGUGGGUAGCAAACAGGAUUAGAUACCCUGGUAGGCUCUG
rnacentral:rRNA from 1 species